CCUGCCCCUAGCGGCCUUGCAGGUGUGGCUGCUGUGUCACAUGGGCGUCAGCAGGUGGCAAGAGAGAGGCUAUGUCUAUGAUCUAUGGUCUGACCUGUGAACAUCUGAAUGACUAGUAGCUUAACAUU